UAUACCUUAGUGGUGGUCUGUUUCGUAAAGGGCGUUUCCGUGCUGCCUAAAGAGAAACAUUUAUUUCAGGAACAGAAUAGGCACAAGUCGGUGAAGCUAAGAAAACUGUAUUGCCAGAACACGACUGUGACUGAAGCAAAAUGCCUGUGCAGAACCACUGUCAAGUUCAGCCAGUUGGAUGCGAAUUUUCUACCACAAAUCUUGACAGGAACUAGAAUAAUUAUAAGAAAAAAGAGAACUACAACAAAAGCGCAGUUGAUCAAACCAGAGCCGGAAAGCUACGUCGGGAAAGAAAGAGCAUGCGUCGACACGAACGUUUUCGAAUGUUCAUUAAAAAAGUUGGAACUCUAUCGGUGGACUGUCUUUGCCUAAUUACUUUUCUAAAUGAGAUAUCCGGUAUACCCUGGUGUCGUCAUUCGUCUCAACACUCAAUGUCAACGCUGGAACGUGUGGGGACCAAGGAGAUCUGGCACAGCAUGGUGGCAGCGGCAGACAAAAACAUGAGCAGACAUAAAGAAACAGACCCAAGGGGAAGGACGAAGAGAAGACGCGAAGGGAAAGAGCUCGUGCACUUCUCAACCUUACAAGGACACUGACACUUACACAAGUUCCCCAAGUAUACCAAGAAGACAUCGCCGACCACAAGACCGCGAAGGGUUAAGACCGUCCUGGUCCCCUUGUUACUCAGAACCGCUCGAGACUCGGAUAGGGUCACAACCAUGUACCAAUGAAGUCAAUAAAUUCUUUUCUACUUUUUUGAUCAUCGCAA